UACGGAGGGUCCAAGCGUUAUCCGGAAUCAUUGGGUUUAAAGGGUCCGUAGGCGGGCUAAUAAGUCAGAGGUGAAAGUUUACAGCUCAACUGUAAAAUUGCCUUUGAUACUGGUUAUCUUGAGUUAUUAUGAAGUAGUUAGAAUAUGUAGUGUAGCGGUGAAAUGCAUAGAUAUUACAUAGAACACCGAUCGCGAAGGCAGCUCACUAAGUAUCGACUGACGCUGAUGGACGAAAGCGUGGGUAGCGUACAGG
rnacentral:rRNA from 1 species